rnacentral:rRNA from 1 species
UACAGAGGGUGCGAGCGUUGUCCGGAAUCACUGGGCGUAAAGGGCGCGUAGGUGGUGGCUUAAGCGUGCGGUGAAAGCUCGGGGCUCAACCCCGAGUCGGCCGUGCGAACUGGGCUCACUGGAGCAUAGUAGAGGCAGGUGGAAUUCCGGGUGUAGCGGUGGAAUGCGUAGAGAUCCGGAAGAACACCGGUGGCGAAGGCGGCUUUCUGGACGGUAACUGACGCUGAGACGCGAAAGCGUGGGGAGCAA